CUGAGAUUACAGGCGUGAGCCUGGCCUUAUUUUUUAGAGACAGACUUGCUCUGUUGCCCAGGCUGGAUGAGGUGAUGAGAUCAUAGCUCACUGCAGCCUUGGGCUCAAGUGGUCCUCCUGCCCCUGCCUCUUGAAUAGCUGGGACUGCAGUUCUGCACCACCACAUCCAGCUACGCGCAUGCUUUCUGAUGCCUGGUUCAGCAGACAUGGAGGCUAUGGGGGCUGUCUUGGGGUGAUCAUCGUGAGGAUGGCCUGGAAUAUUUAUGUGCAUGUGUGUAAGCAUGUGUCUCAAGGAGGCUCCAGGCUGCUGACCCCAGAGCCAGCUCUCUCCUUAUGAAAUAACACCUCUUAGAUCCAUAAGACUUUACAAAAAUUUUUAUUCUGUUUACACAGGACCUUGUCUCAUUCAAUCCUUCCAAUUACCAAAAGAAGCAGGCAAGACAAACUGUUACACCCAUUUUAUGGGUUAGAAUGAUUUACUCCAAGAGAGAUGCACUUGCCUAAGACCAUCAGCUGUAGAGCUGGGCUAAUCCCAGUGCAUGACUCUUCCAUGAAUUGUGUGUUAAUUAUUUAUUUAUUGAGAGAGGGUCUUGCUCUGUCCCCCAGGCUGUAGUACAGUGGCAUGAUCACAGCUCACUGCAGCCUCAACCACCUGGGCUGAAGUGAUCCUCCCACCUCAGCCCCACAAGUAACUGGGACUACAUGCACACACCACCACAUCUGGCUAAUUUUUGUAUUUUUUUUAGAGACGAGGUUUUGCCAUGUUGCCCAGGCUGGUUUUGAACUCCUGGGCUCAAGUGAUCUGCUCAUCUUGGCCUUCCAAAGUGCUGGGAUUACAGGUGUGAGCCACCGUGCCCAGCCCCAUUUAUUUCACGAACAACUAACUACUCACUGACCACCUAGCAUGUGGCAGCACAGUGUGGCAGUUAAGAGCUGUGCUCCUCGGCCGGCCGCAGUGGCUCAUGCCUGUAAUCCCAGCACUCUGGGAAGCCAAGGCAAGCGGAUCACCUGAGGUCAGGAGUUCGAGAUCAGCCUAGCCAAUAUGGUGAAUCCCUGUCUCUACUAAAAAUACAAAAAUUAGCUGGGUGUGGUGGCACACGCCUGUAGUCCCAGCUACUCGGGGGGCUAAGGAAGGAGAAUCGCUUGAACCCAGGAGGUGGAGGUUGCAGUGAGCCGAGAUCUCACCAUUGCACUCCAGCCUGGGCAACACAGUGAGACUCUGUCUUGAGAAAAAAAAAAAAAAAAAAAAAGUCGGCCGGGCGCAGUGGUUCACGCCUGUAAUCCCAGCACUUUGGGAGGCCGAGGUGGGUGGAUCACGAGGUCAGGAGAUCGAGACAAUCCUGGCUAACACGAUGAAACCUCAUCUCUACUAAAAAUACAAAAAAUUAGCCAGGCGUGGUGGUGGGCGCCUGUAGUCCCAGCUACUUGGGAGGCUGAGGCAGGAGAAUGGCAUGAACCCGUGAGGCAGAGCUUGCAGUGAGCAGAGAUCGCGCCACUGCACUCCAGCCUGGGCAACAAAGCGAGACUCCGUCUCAAAAAAAAAAAAAAAAACAUACACAUACACACACAAAAAGUCAGCUGGGGGUGGUGGCACACGCCUGUAAUCCCAACUACUGGGGAGGGUGAGGCAGGAGAAUCCCUUGAACCUGGGAGGUGGAGGUUGCAGUGAGCCAAGAUUGAGCUACUGCACCUCCAGCCUAGGCAACAGCGAGACUCUGUCUCUCUCUCCUACACACACACACACACACACACACACACACACACACACACACAAACACAAAGAAAAAAGAAAAAAAGAAAAACAAAAGAGCUGUGCUCCAGAGUCAGACUGUCCUUGAGUCCCAGCCCUGCCAUCCAGUAUGUCAAUUCCCUGUAUUUCCUCAUGCACAAAACAAGGGUAUAAUUAUCCCAGCAAAUAUGAACUGCUACAAUUUUAAAGUUCCUUAGCAUUGUCUUGAAACAAGGGGAAGUUAAAACAAAACAAAAAAAAAGUCCCUGGCCGAGCAUGGUGGCUCACACUGGUAUUUCCAGCACCAUGGGAGGACAAGGCAAGCGGAUCACUCGAGGCUAGGAUUUCAAGACCAGCCUAGGCAACAUAGCGAGAACCUGUCUCUACAAAAAAAUUUAAAAAUUAGCAGGGCGUGAUGGUGCGUGCCUGUGGUCCCAGCUACUGGAGAGUCUGAGGCUGCAGUGAGCUAGAAUUUUGCCACCACACUCCAGCCAGAGCCACAGAGUCAGAUCCUGUCUCAAAAGAAAAAGGCUCUUUUAAGGUUGGGCGCGGUGGCUGACACCUGUAAUCCCAGCACUUUGGGAGGCCAAGGCGGGCAGAUCACCUGAGGUCAGGAGUUUGAGACCAGCCUGGCCAACAUGGUGAAACUCUGUCUCUACUAAAAAUACAAAAAUUAGCCAGGCGUGGUGGCAGGUGCCUGUAAUCCCAGCUACUCAGGAGGUUGAGGUGGGAGAAUCUCUUGAACCUGGGAGACAGAGGUUGCAGUGAACUGAGAUCGCGCCACUGCACUCCACUCUGGGUGACAGAGUGAGACUCCGUCUCAAAAAACAAACAAAAAAAGUCCUCUCCCAAGGCCAUGCUCCUGGUGGCAGCUGGCACCCAAAGGCUGAGCACUUGAGCAGAAUGGAAGCCUGACCACCUGCCCUGACUUAGAACAACUCUGCCGGGCUAAGCUGGCGGAGGCGCACACUGGGCUUGCAUUGCUGCUCAACCUCUCCCUCUGCUCCAGUCUGUCACCUGGGCCUGCUUUCCUGGGUGUUGAUCCCAGGAGCAACCACAAUAAAUGCCCUGCAUCUCCAGAUGCAUUCCCAAGGACUCUAAGGAGUUGAGAGAACUCCUCUAGGGUUCACUAUUGGUGAGGGGCUCAGAGGCUGGAAGCCUGGCAAGUAGGCAGGCAUGAUCCUAUAACGGAUGGCUCCCUGAUACACCCACCUGCAGGUCUGAAGUUGGAAGAGAAUUAUGAGGGCUGUGAGCAAGCUCUCUGGAGUGCUGAGCUAAGGGUGCCCAUGGCCACAGACAUGGGAGGAAGGAUGCCAAGGAGGCAGGCACAUUAGUCGUCCUUCUGCCAGCUUCACCAGUCCACAGAGCCUUGCUGUCUUUAUCUUCUUUAACCCCCGAAACAGGGCUCUCUCCCCGGCGACCCAUACCAUGCUACCCUCAGCAGCUCAGAGUUAAGAUUCUUUGGUCAAGCUUUUUUUUUUUUUUUCUUGAGAAGAAGUCUCGCUCUGUCGCCCAGGCUGAGUGCAAUGGCACGAUCUCAGCUUACUGCAACUUCCGCCUCCCAGGUUCAAGCUAUUCUCCUGCCUCAGCCUCUUGAGUAGCUGGGACUACAGGCAUGUGCCACCACACCUGGCUAAUUUUUGUAUUUUUAGUAGAGACGGGGCCUCCCUAUGUUGGCCUGGCUGGUCUUGAACUCCUGACCUCAGGUGACCUGCCCACCUUGGCCUCCUAAAGUGCUGGGAUUACAGGCGUGAGCCACUGCUCCUGGCCUGGUCGAGCUUUUUGACUACAAUCUGCAUGAAGGCGGCAAGUUCUUUCUGCUGACUUUGUUGUCACUGAGAGCAACGCAAUAUGUCUGUUUUAUUUUUUUCUUUUGAGAGAAGUGGUCUUGCUAAGUUUCCCAGGCUGGCCGCAAACCCCUGGGCUCAAGCAAUCCUCCCACCUUGGCCUCCCCAACAGCUGGGACUACAGGUGCGUACCACUGUGCUCAGCUCAAAUGUCUCUAUUUUAACGUCCUCUGCAUAACAAUGACAUAUAACAGCUAACUCCUCAAGAAAUAAUAUUUAUAAAUGAUACUACCUGUGUUCAACAUCUCUCCCCUCUUAAAGAUUGCUUCAUUUGAAAAGAAAGUGUUCUAUGCCUUCCUGUUAGACCCUGUCCUAAAUUCCCUAUUUCCCAGGCCCCUCCUAUAUGGUUAGAGGAAAUAUAAAGAACAUGCAAUCACCCAAGCAAAGUGAGGACAAAGAUGGUUUCUCUUCAGUGCUGAGUCUAGAGAGCAGAGAAGCAGGGCAAGCCGGAGCCAGAUAUGACUGGAGAAAGCAGCUGGCCACGUGUGAGGCCAGGUUACACAAUCAGUUCAACUGCCCAUCAGUGGGGGCUGUGACGACAGAACCCAAGACCCCUUCAGCUGAGGCUGAGCCCAGGCUAGGGCUAACAGCACCGCAAUGAUGCCAAUACACUGCCCUUCAUUCCACUGGCUCAGCCCACCCCAAGGUCAGGCAGGCAGAUGACCUCCAUGCCCCAGUAGCUUGACAAUGUCUCUUCUAGAGGCAAGGCUGGUGCUGCUAUUGCUUCCUACACGUGAGGGAUACAAGUGCCAUAGGAAAACGCCAAUCCGAGAGUCCACAGCCCUCAGUAGGAGGCAACCACUGCCCAGGGAGCAGCAGACAUGAGGCAAAGGAGACGCGGGGAGAGAUUUAAUUUACAUAGCAGCCACUUGGGGUCCAGUCAGAGCUGGGGCAGUGGGGGAAUCUAUAACCC
rnacentral:lncRNA from 1 species